CCGCCGCCAUCUUUGUGAGGGGCACACCUGACUACAGCCGCCAUCUUUAUGAGGGCUACCCGCCGCCAUCUUUGUGAGGGGUUCCUAUCUAAACCAGCCACCAUCGGAAAAGAAGCUCAGCUUUUCAGACGCCCCUCUGCUUCUGGCAUCAUGGCAGCAGACUAGACUAGCCAGCAGGCCUCUCUUCUCUCUAGGCCUCCUUGUCUGUGCCGAUCACACUGCUCUGCACCGGGAUCUGUCAAGCUGACGACCUCAUCAUGCCGUUCACAUGGCCCUACGCCUCCCGCAUCAGCUCUGAGCUGGAAUGUCAUCCUCGGCUCUUGCAGUGUGUUGAUAACAUGGCUCCCAUGUUACAUGUUUAUUUCCUUGUUAAUGUUGUUCAGGGUUCCAUUUAGCCAGUGACGCGGCAGUAAAUAAAUAAGGAAGUAUGCUUCAGGAAUAGCUCUGAAGUUUUGUGGCACACAAGGGCCUCAAACUUUGUAUUUAAAAAUGCAUUUAUACAUGACAUGAAAAA